rnacentral:rRNA from 1 species
GAUGAACGCUGGCGGCGUGCCUAAUACAUGCAAGUCGAGCGAACAGACGAGGAGCUUGCUCCUCUGACGUUAGCGGCGGACGGGUGAGUAACACGUGGAUAACCUACCUAUAAGACUGGGAUAACUUCGGGAAACCGGAGCUAAUACCGGGUAAUAUAUUGAACCGCAUGGUUCAAUAGUGAAAGACGGUUUUGCUGUCACUUAUAGAUGGAUCCGCGCCGCAUUAGCUAGUUGGUAAGGUAACGGCUUACCAAGGCAACGAUGCGUAGCCGACCUGAGAGGGUGAUCGGCCACACUGGAACUGAGACACGGUCCAGACUCCUACGGGAGGCAGCAGUAGGGAAUCUUCCGCAAUGGGCGAAAGCCUGACGGAGCAACGCCGCGUGAGUGAUGAAGGUCUUCGGAUCGUGAAACUCUGUUAUUAGGGAAGAACAAAUGUGUAAGUAACUAUGCACGUCUUGACGGUACCUAAUCAGAAAGCCAGGGCUAACUACGUG